rnacentral:rRNA from 1 species
GCUUGGGAACAUGCCUUGAGGUGGGGGACAACAGUUGGAAACGACUGCUAAUACCGCAUAAUGUCUACGGACCAAAGGGGGCUUCGGCUCUCGCCUUUAGAUUGGCCCAAGUGGGAUUAGCUAGUUGGUGAGGUAAUGGCUCACCAAGGCGACGAUCCCUAGCUGGUUUGAGAGGAUGAUCAGCCACACUGGGACUGAGACACGGCCCAGACUCCUACGGGAGGCAGCAGUGGGGAAUAUUGCACAAUGGGCGCAAGCCUGAUGCAGCCAUGCCGCGUGUGUGAAGAAGGCCUUCGGGUUGUAAAGCACUUUCAGUCAGGAGGAAAGCGUGGUGGUUAAUACCCAUCAUGUGUGACGUUACUGACAGAAGAAGCACCGGCUAACUCCGUGCCAGCAGCCGCGGUAAUACGGAGGGUGCGAGCGUUAAUCGGAAUUACUGGGCGUAAAGCGUACGCAGGCGGUUUGUUAAGCGAGAUGUGAAAGCCCCGGGCUCAACCUGGGAACUGCAUUUCGAACUGGCAAACUAGAGUGUGAUAGAGGGUGGUAGAAUUUCAGGUGUAGCGGUGAAAUGCGUAGAGAUCUGAAGGAAUACCGAUGGCGAAGGCAGCCACCUGGGUCAACACUGACGCUCAUGUACGAAAGCGUGGGGAGCAAACGGGAUUAGAUACCCCGGUAGUCCACG